rnacentral:rRNA from 1 species
AGUGAACGCUGGCGGUAGGCCUAACACAUGCAAGUCGAACGGCAGCACAGGAGAGCUUGCUCUCUAGGUGGCGAGUGGCGGACGGGUGAGGAAUACAUCGGAAUCUGCCCAGUCGUGGGGGAUAACGUAGGGAAACUUACGCUAAUACCGCAUACGACCUUCGGGUGAAAGAGGGGGAUCGCAAGACCUCUCGCGAUUGGAUGAGCCGAUGUCGGAUUAGCUAGUUAGCGGGGUAAUGGCCCACCAAGGCGACGAUCCGUAGCUGGUCUGAGAGGAUGAUCAGCCACACUGGAACUGAGACACGGUCCAGACUCCUACGGGAGGCAGCAGUGGGGAAUAUUGGACAAUGGGCGCAAGCCUGAUCCAGCCGUACCGCGUGGGUGAAGAAGGCCUUCGGGUUGUAAAGCCCUUUUGUUGGGAAAGAAAUCUUUCAGGCUAAUACCCUGGGAGGAUGACGGUACCCAAAGAAUAAGCACCGGCUAACUUCGUG